GCUGGGUGCAGUGGCACACGCCUGUAAUCCCAGGGACUCGGGGGCUGAGGCAGGAGGAUUGAGAGUUCAAAGCCAGCCUUGGCAAUGGCAGGGCACUAGGCAAACUCAAUGAGACCCUGUCUCUA
rnacentral:sRNA from 1 species